UGAGUAUCUAGCUGGAAAGGAUUUGAUGU
rnacentral:piRNA from 1 species